ACAUCAUUGCAAAGCCUGCGAAACCACUGCAUUGUAUAAGUAUAGUAACAUCCUGCAUUUGGCAAAACAAGGGAGAGGCGCUUGUAGUCUCGCAGCUUCUUUGUGUCGGCGAGAAACAGCAGCAGGUGCCAUAGGUGUUUUCCUGAAACAAGAAGAUGGUCUGACUGAUCAUUAAUGCGUGCCGCUAUGUGGCCAAGAAAAUAACGUCCUCAAUAAGGGGAGAGGAAGAGGAGAAGGCAGCCACGACUGAUCCUGUGAAGUCUUCAUCAUGUGUUCUGCGAUCAGGAUGCAAAAAAGAUGGUGCAGCUCUGGCUUCUCCUGCUUCUCUCUCUGCCCCCCUUACUUCUGACCCAGAUGAGAAUUCCUCUUCCAACUCAGCCAUCCAAACACGUGAUUCUGUGCCUUACUAAAACCCGAAAAGGAUUUAUUUUACAAGAUGGCAUGUCUAGAGAAGGGGCAACACAGCAGAAGGAUGACCCCCCUCUCAGAAGCUUCUAACUUCAGAGGUUGAGAGGAGGUGAAGAAUAUAUCUGAUGUGUUGUAAAUAAAAAUCUGAAACCUA